rnacentral:rRNA from 1 species
GUGGGGAAUCUUAGACAAUGGGGGCAACCCUGAUCUAGCCAUGCCGCGUGAGUGAUGAAGGCCUUAGGGUCGUAAAGCUCUUUCGCUGGGGAAGAUAAUGACGGUACCCAGUAAAGAAACCCCGGCUAACUCCGUGCCAGCAGCCGCGGUAAUACGGAGGGGGUUAGCGUUGUUCGGAAUUACUGGGCGUAAAGCGCGCGUAGGCGGAUUGGAAAGUUGGGGGUGAAAUCCCGGGGCUCAACCCUGGAAUGGCCUUCAAAACUCCCAGUCUUGAGGUCGAGAGAGGUGAGUGGAAUUCCGAGUGUAGAGGUGAAAUUCGUAGAUAUUCGGAGGAACACCAGUGGCGAAGGCGGCUCACUGGCUCGAUACUGACGCUGAGGUGCGAAAGCGUGGGGAGCAAACAGGAUUAGAAACCCGUGUAGUCC